rnacentral:misc_RNA from 1 species
AGCCGUAUCGGAAGGUGCGGCUGGAUCACCUCCUUUUGAGCAAAGACAGCAUCGUCCUGUCGGGCGUCUUCACAAAGUACCUGCAUUCAGAGAAUCACAACGGCCAGGCCGCUGUGAGAGUCCCUUUUGGGGCCUUAGCUCAGCUGGGAGAGCACCUGCUUUGCAAGCAGGGGGUCGUCGGUUCGAUCCCGACAGGCUCCACCACGUUUGAGCAUGUUCCGGAAAGUAUUUCCGGGUCUGUAGCUCAGGUGGUUAGAGCGCACCCCUGAUAAGGGUGAGGUCGGUAGUUCGAGUCUACCCAGACCCACCAUUCUCUGAAUGACGCAUACAAUCGAUCUUUAUACGCAUCAGCACUGUGGCUGGUACGUGUUCUUUUAAAACUUGUGACGUAGCGAGCGUUUGAGAUGUUCUAUCAGACGUGUCGUGAGGCUAAGGCGAGAGACGCAAGUCUCUUUAUUGAUUGAGUCGUUAUAUUCGUAUCCGGGCUUUGUACCCCCGGGUCAUAUGUAACCCAAGGCAACUUGCGGUUAUAUGGUCAAGCGAAUAAGCGCACACGGUGGAUGCCUUGGCGGUCAGAGGCGAUGAAGGACGUGGCAGCCUGCGAAAAGUAUCGGGGAGCUGGCAACAA